rnacentral:rRNA from 2 species
CGUGCACUGAAUCCAUAGGUGUACGAAGCGAACCUGGGGAACUGAAACAUCUAAGUACCCAGAGGAAAAGAAAUCAAUCGAGAUUCCGUCAGUAGCGGCGAGCGAAAGCGGAACAGCCCAGUUACUAAAUCAUUAUUUGAUCUAGCAGAAUGUUCUGGAAAGUUCAGCCAUAGCGGGUGAUAGCCCCGUACGUGAAAGAGUAAAUAAUGUGGGUAACGAUGAGUAGGUCGGGACACGUGGUAUCUUGACUGAACAUGGGGGGACCAUCCUCCAAGGCUAAAUACUCCUUACUGACCGAUAGCGAACCAGUACCGUGAGGGAAAGGUGAAAAGAACCCCGGCGAGGGGAGUGAAAUAGAACCUGAAACCGUAUGCGUACAAGCAGUAGGAG